CGAAGCCUCGGAUAACAUUUUCGCUAAGGAAAAAGUUGUUUCAAAUCACCUCCCGAACCACCCCUUUCAAGGUGUUACAACAUUUUUGGGACACCCUGUAUACCCGGCGUUGGAGCUACCACGUAUCUUUUACAGGAGAGAUGGUCCAUUCCAACCUAACCUGAAACUUCUUUCAUGAAUAUCUCAACACGCCUGCAAUAUUUUCUGAAUUUAAAGGCAUUUUUCUAAUGUAAAUCGCAUAUAAGUUUUCGAAUAAAACCAAAAUCAAUCAAAUCGGUCCACGAACAACUGAGAUAUCGUAAUACAUGUCAUGAGACUGUCAAAAACGGCUUGUUCUCGUUCUCCCGGUUUUAUUUCAUCAAGGAAUUUUUUGUCAACACUUAGCCAAUAGGAGCUAAGGCCGUUCGUCGAUUCAUCGACUCUUGGAAUCGCUCGACAGGGCUCGUGACGGCCGCUCAUGCCGCUCAUUCAUAAUCUGUGAAGUGUCAAAUAUUUUACACUAUUGAAUUAUUCUUGUUUUGUAAUUAAAGUGUGUACUUUUUUAAUUUCUUUAUACCAGAAAAAUGUUUUCAAUUUUAAUAAAUUGCAGCCAGAGUUGUAAAGUAUUGAUUGAUCAAUUUUAAUUACAAGAACUUCUAGAAACGAAGGGGAGUCACCAGGCUUGGAAGUUGUCCCGAGAAGGUUAUAGACGGAGAUAAAAUUGUGAAGUGUCAAUCAAAAGCCAUAAGAUUACAAAAAUUAUGGCCGACCGCUUGCAAUGUAGAGCUCACCAUAUUAGUGAAAUAAUUGAAGCAUAAGAUGAUGCGGUGUGCACAACAUGAAUUUACUAGGCCAGGCAAGGUCGUGUUGAUGAAUAAGAAUUAUUUUAAAACACAAAAUAAUGAAAGUGUACUGAUAUUGUCAAAGUUUUAAACUGACAAAUUAUGUGAAAGUCUGCGAGAGAGAAAGUAUGGGUAUUGAUGAUCUGAGAAUGCUUUGCCUGGCCACACCAAGUAUUUGACUUCCAGGUCACAGACAUCUAGGCAAAUGUCUAAACAGUCUCAGUUUGUGGUUGAUACACUAUUUAGCUUCUUCAUUUCACCGCCAAAGUGCGGAGCAGUCAGUUUAACAAUAAUAAUUUAAACAAAAUAUUGUGGUAAUCUUGACCACAGUUACAUGAAUCUGAAAAUGCAAAAUAAUGUAUAUCUGACUGAAUACUAAUAUAUGUCAAUUUAUAUAAAAUAUGUUUAUGACUUCCAGAUUGUAGAAAUUGCGACUCCAAGUUAGUAUAAUUUAUUAUGGCUUCCAUUAUGGCAUACAUAUGAGUAAAUAUAGUAAUUACUUCUUCAGUAAGAACAGAAGGGCCUCCUCUAUCAACAGAAUGGGAGCCUAUAGCCAGAUAUGUAAAUUUUAAUGGAAUUAUCAACACAAUUGGAUAAAUAUUCACUUUCAAAGAUUUCCAGAAAACAAGUCACGCCAAUGGAAGGGUCAUGAAGAUUACUAUCGUUAUCACAAAUUUCACAUCUGUUUUUGAUUUCAGUAAAAGAAAAGAAUCUUGCUGAUUUCUUGAAAAUUUUCCUGCUAAAAGAUAAGGUAUGUCAAAAUUUUGAAAGCAGUACUCUAUGAGUAGUAAAAGAACUCUAGUACUUUGAUGUUAAGCUUUGAAAGUAUCUAAUGUUAAAUGACCAUCUGUUUCUAAAUUUUUCCAAGAAUCUAACCGUGUUAAACAUUUCUUUAAAUAUUCAUAUCUAAAAUCAUUAACAUUCAAAAUCGCUUUACAAAAUUCGUUUCUUUUCCUAUUACCUUUAACACUACUUUUAUUAUUCACAAUAUCUUACCAGUUGCGAAAUAUUUCUAAAAAAUGGCCAGUAUCUGUACAAUUAAAAUUUUUGCCUAUCAAAAUUAUUAGGAAACAAUGAUUUAUAAUUUAAUUUAUAAGCUUUUUUAAUAAUUAAAUAUUUUUCGUAAUCGUAAACCGUACGUAGAUCAUUAAAUUUAACUAAUCUUUGUUCAUUUAUAUAAAAGUCGGGGAAAAUAAAUUUUACCUACAUUUUUUAAAUUUAACCAGUUAUUUCUUAUAUUUCUCAUUAUAUGAACAAAGUCAAAAGAAAGAAAAAUGGUUUUAUUAGAUUGUGAAGGAUUAGGAAAACUUAUUUCAUUGUCAAAUAAUUUAUUGAACAUGUUUCUGUUCAUUCUAUGAUUAUCUGUUAAAAUGCAUAUUAUUUCAAAACCACAUUUCUGAAUAGAUUCUAUAAUUUUGUAAACAAUUGAGAUCAUUUCAUCUCCGGUAAUAUCCGUUUAAAAACAGGUAAUAAUUGAACUAUUUCCAAAAGCUUAGCUUAUCAUGAAAGCUAAAAUAGGUUUUGCUAAUCCAUUACAAUUCAAACCGCAACCUGUAACUCUGAUCUAUACUGUAAUUUAGAACUAAUAUAUAUUUCGUCAAUUAAUAAAAUUACUACUUUCUCUCUGUCCGUUAAAUUUGAAGAUAUAUUAAUGAGAUAAGAUUCGUUUUGAAUAUCAUUGUGUGCUGUUGUAUUUAUAUUAGAUGAAAUAUGUUGUAAAUACCGUUUAUACGGUAAAAUAAAAAAGUUUCUUAAUAAAUUAUAUGUAGCUGAGGAUUGAGUAUAUUAUGUAAAAAGCCAUAAUAAUGGUGCAUGAAUUAUAUUGAUUGUUUUUAUUUUAGUUGCUGUAUUUGAUCUAUUAAUUAUUUUAAAUGUUUUGCAUGGGUGAAAUCUAUUGAUUCUGCAAUAAUAUAUGCCUUUUUGAGUUCAUCUACAGACUUCUCCAGAUGUUUUUCAAUGAGACAUAUACCACUGUUAGAAUCUGCAUGCUGUACUUAUUUGUAUCUUUUUAAUAUAUUUUGAAGUUGAGACCAUCCACAUAAUUUCUUAUCAAUAGGCAGUACCCACUCUAAAUCAUUAUGUAAUAAUUCCUUAUCUUUUUGAAAAACUUGUAAUUUCAUACUGUCAUUGAUUACAAUCUGUGCAUUAAAUAUCAAAAGUUCAGAAUUAUCAUUGCAUACAAGUACGUAAAAAUAAAUUCUUGAAUUUAUUAUUUUGAUACUCCAACAGUUAGAAAUUACAAGCUUUUCUUCAUAAGUUUUAACUAAUUCUGAAAAAUCACUGAUCAAAACUGACGUAAGAAAUUCCUCAAUUAAAUUUUCAUGCUGUUUCCUUAUUUUUUCUUGACGCUCUGCCGGGUCUUUUCUCUGGGGUAGCACAUUUUUUGUAAAAUAAAAUGGGGAAUUCGGAAAAAUGGAUGGUCUCGAUUCGUUAUAAUCCUUGAACAUCUUAACAAAACAUUCUGCAGUACACCAUUGAGAGAUAGAAUACCCUCGUAUCUUAUAAUAUCAGUUUCUGCAAAAUACAGACAGCAGAAUAUUUUGUUGGUGUCUAAUUCUUACGAGGAAUAGCGGCUAUCUAUUUUGUUCGCAAUUCCUCAUCUUUAGGGACUAAAAAUAUC